rnacentral:rRNA from 1 species
AUGCACGCUGGCGGCGUGCCUCAUACAUGCCAGUCGAGCGAACAGAUGAGGAGCUUGCUCCUCUGACGUUAGCGGCGGACGGGUGAGUAACACGUGGAUAACCUACCUAUAAGACUGGGAUAACUUCGGGAAACCGGAGCUAAUACCGGAUAAUAUAUUGAACCGCAUGGUUCAAUAGUGAAAGACGGUUUUGCUGUCACUUAUAGAUGGAUCCGCGCCGCAUUAGCUAGUUGGUAAGGUAACGGCUUACCAAGGCGACGAUGCGUAGCCGACCUGAGAGGGUGAUCGGCCACACUGGAACUGAGACACGGUCCAGACUCCUACGGGAGGCAGCAGUAGGGAAUCUUCCGCAAUGGGCGAAAGCCUGACGGAGCAACGCCGCGUGAGUGAUGAAGGUCUUCGGAUCGUAAAACUCUGUUAUUAGGGAAGAACAAAUGUGUAAGUAACUAUGCACGUCUUGACGGUACCUAAUCAGAAAGCCACGGCUAACUACG